rnacentral:rRNA from 1 species
UGAACAUCGACAUUUUGAACGCACAUUGCGCCCCUUUGGGAUUCUAUCCCGAGGGCCAUGUCUGUCUGAGGGUCGGUAAUCAUAAAAGCCUGUAACUGUGUUUGUCAAUCGAGUCUUCAUAUUGUGUUGAUUGGAUUCCACUUUGCAAGAUUCUUGACAGACAUUUGUGGGGCUCAGCAUUGGCUUGUCAUUGACAAAAGACUCUGACAUGCACAUGCCGGCACACAGCAGUCCCAGUGACAUGUGUGUGCUGCUGCAGUUGUGUGUUUAAAUGUCUUUCAAUGAAGUUGAAGCCAUGUUAUUGUGAGUAAUUUGCUCUACAUUCAAUGUUGUUUGUUGAGAGUGUGUCUGCAUCCCUGCAAGCUGUUGCAUGCUGGUCGAUGAAUACACCUUUCCAUGCUCAAUGAUUGACAGAGCAAUGCUUGAAAUAAGAUGAGUUUGCACAUUUGGUCAAGCACUGUCGAUGAUAAUAGAAAUAUUGCCUCCAGUGUGUGUACCAAAUGUGUGUAGAAGCUGCAUUCCACUGGCUGGUUCAUAGCUGAAACCAGACUGCCAGUUUGUGUAUGCACUAUUGCCAUCAGAGGGCUUGAGCCUUUGAUUUCGAGGUUCGUCUGUAUGAUUGCAGCAUUCAAUCUGACUGGAUGAAAACAGUUUGUUGAAUUUCAAUAUGAUAAUACUAUGUCAAGUGAGUAAUGCAAGCUUAAAAUACUCUGUGGUGAUUUGUGCAUGUGUUCCACACACACUUUGAACCAUACCAAUUCAUUUUACUGACCUCAGAUCAGGCCAGAUUACCCGCCUAAUUUAAGCAUAUCAAUAAGUGGAGGAAAAGAA